CGCGCAGGUGGUUCCUUAAGUCUGAUGUGAAAGCCCACGGCCCAACCGUGGAGGGUCAUUGGAAACUGGGGAACUUGAGUGCAGAAGAGGAAAGUGGAAUUCCAAGUGUAGCGGUGAAAUGCGUAGAGAUUUGGAGGAACACCAGUGGCGAAGGCGACUUUCUGGUCUGUAACUGACACUGAGGCGCGAAAGCGUGGGGAGCAAACA
rnacentral:rRNA from 1 species